UUUCCGUAGGUGAACCUGCGGAAGGAUCAUUAUUGUAUAACCGAGGUGCGAGGGCUGUCGCUGACCCGAAAGGUCGUGCACGCCCGAGUGCCCUCACACACAUCCAUCUCACCCCUAUGUGCACCACCGCGUGGGUCCCCCUUUGGCUUGUUCGGAGGGGGGCUUACGUUUUCACACAAACUUUGUAUGCAGUGUAGAAUGUAUUUUUUGUUUUUGCGAUCACGCAAUCAAUACAACUUUCAACAACGGAUCUCUUGGUUCUC
rnacentral:misc_RNA from 1 species